rnacentral:misc_RNA from 1 species
CAGCGAAUGGCUUGCGCCGGCACUGUUCGACAAAACGUCGCUGCCGAAUUUUUCCGCCGGUGAUCUGUCCGACGCGCUGAUGAACCUGCUGCCGUGGGACAUGCGUGCGCGGCUCGACCGCGAAGCGCCGACGCAUUUCGAGGCGCCGACCGGAACGUCGCUGCCGAUCGAUUAUGAAGCGGAGCAGGGGCCCACCAUUGCGGUCCGCUUGCAGGAGCUGUUCGGGCUCAAUGUUCACCCGUCGAUCGCGAAGGGCAAAAUUCCGCUGGUGCUGGAGCUGCUGUCGCCCGCGCAUCGUCCGGUGCAGGUGACGCGCGAUCUG